AUGUGGAUUUUUUUUUUCAACCAAAAGUGGAUCCAAAAGAAAAUAUUCCCUGGAUGCAAAACUUCCUAUACACAGAUUCCGCAGGACCAACUUCAGGACUCCAGACUCCGUUCAAAUGCUGCCUCAGUGGAAACCAUCCUUGAUCACUCAACAUUAUGCUGGAGACCCUGCAGUGGAUUAAGGAUGGCAAUACCUGCUUUGGUACCAUUCCCUUGGAGAGUUACAGGGUAUCAAGGAGACCUGUUUUGGAGUGUGAUCUUUCACCAUCACCCAGUGGAGACAAGGACAUCCCCACUGCUGUCAGUGAAGACAAAAUGGAAGUCAAAUACCCUACUUCUGUGUAGUAAUAAUGAGGAAACUUACCUAACUUCUGUGUCAAUGAAGGCUGAGUAGCAAAGCUGAAAUUGUACCUCCAUGGUAAUGCCUUCCUCUUUCCUCAUCAGCGUUACAUAAAAGAAAGCCAGCUAAAAUAGAAUAUUUAAUAAGAUUGAAAAUUUUGUGAUGUAAAAAUUUUCAGAUGUCUAUUGAAGAUGAGUGAACACAAAGCAGAAAAAAAGAAAUCCAUGCAAUGAUACCCUGUAAUUAAACUUUAGAACACUAACGGCAAAAUAUCUUGAGAGUGGCUAGAGAAAAAUGAGACAUUAUGUUUAGAAAAAUAACAAUUAGAGUAAAAGAUGAUUUCUCAUAACAGAUGAUGGACGCUAGAUGAAUAUUUUUCAUAGGCUGAAAGAAACUAAUUUUCAACCCAGAAAUCUAUAUUCAGCAAAAAAAAAAAAAAAAAGAAAAAAAAAUUCCUCAGGAAUAAAGAGGAAGUGAAGCUAUUCUAAAAUGAGAGA
rnacentral:lncRNA from 13 species